CUGCAUGUAGCACCCCGGGCUUCUCUGAAAAUACAAAUUGGAUGAAGAAGAAAGCCCCAAUGCUCGUGCUAAAUUAGAUAUACAGCCGUCAAGUGUUGCAGUUCAGCCUGUUUGUACCUUUUUCCAUGGCCGUUUCUGUGUCAAAUCGACGGCUACAGAU